rnacentral:rRNA from 1 species
CGCACUAGUGUUGGAGGAAAGCAGGGGAUCGUAAGACCUUGCGCUUUUGGAGCGGCCGAUGUCUGAUUAGCUAGUUGGUGGGGUAAUGGCCUACCAAAGCUUCGAUCAGUAGCUGGUCUGAGAGGACGGCCAGCCACACUGGGACUGAGACACGGCCCAGACUCCUACGGGAGGCAGCAGUGGGGAAUUUUGGACAAUGGGCGCAAGCCUGAUCCAGCCAUGCCGCGUGAGUGAAGAAGGCCUUCGGGUUGUAAAGCUCUUUCAGCCGGGAAGAAAAGGCUGCGAUUAAUAAUCGCAGUUCAUGACGGUACCGGAAGAAGAAGCACCGGCUAACUACGUGCCAGCAGCCGCGGUAAUACGUAGGGUGCGAGCGUUAAUCGGAAUUACUGGGCGUAAAGGGUGCGCAGGCGGUUUUGUAAGUCAGAUGUGA